CCUUCAUUCAUUUUCCUUUGCAUCAUCCAUGAUAAUAAGUCAUUUUUUUGGGCCUUUGGCCAUUGUUACUCAUACUUGCUUUAGCAUAUCACCACCAUUUAAAUUGGAGCUUUGAGUUCAUUUUAUCUCAUUAGAACUAAUUUCUUUAUUUUAAUUUUUUUUUGCAUUAGAUUGACAAAAGGAUCAUGUUCUUGAAGGACACUAGCUCCUCGUUUGUAGCAACAUGGUUUCAUCGACAUCCAUAACAUCAUUAUCACACCAACAUGAUUCACACAUACAUAAAAAUAAAUUGAAAAUUGGAAAAAAGGAAAUGACAUGAAACACAUGGAAACUCGUGAAGUAUCAUCAACAUACAUCAAUCCUUCAUCAUCCCAUCACAUGCCAUAUAAACCUCACGUAACUCAUGCUCUCAGUCAUAAUUUUUUCACCCUUCAAAUUCCCUCCAAAAUCACUCAAUACUCACCUCUUUUCCCCCUCAAAAUCUUCUCACGAGGAUCACCACAUCGUCCCAAUUCUCCUCUAUAAGUAAACCUCAUUGCUCGCUCUCUAAAACACACAAGAUUCUCUACUAAAUCUCUGCAUAAAUAUCUCCCAAAUCCCUAGCAAACUUCUGCUCGAAUCUAGGCACACCUUCAACACUUGCAGAAAGAAAACAAAGAUAGAAUCAUUGGAAGAAGUUUAGAAGGAAAAGAGACGAAGAAGUAGAGAGGAUAAUACAUACCUAAAUGUAGUGAAGGUCGCAUGAGUUCUCUCCGGAAACUCCAUGUUUUCGACAAGGUUCUUUUUUCCAUUUUUCAUACCAGUUUACCUUCCUUGUUGCAUUUUUAUUAUCAAUUUUCUCUCUACUGUUAUAACUCUAUGUAAUCGUGAUGACUUAAUGAGAAUGUGGGGGCUAGGGUUAAAUUGGGAAAAGGGUAUUUUGUUUGUUUGAUUGAGAUUCUGAUUAAACUAAUGCUAGAUUCGGUUUCAGAUAGGAAAAUUGAGUGGAGUUUGUGUUAUGAGUUUUCGCAUUUGAUGUGGUUUGGGAAAAAUCUGGAAAACUGAUGAACACCUUCAUGGAGUUCAUCGUUGUGUUCAUAGGUAUUUGGCUUUUGAUCCGUUUCAGAAGAAAAAUAAAGCUUGAAAAUUGUUUAUGAAAGAGAGAGGGAGAGAGAGAAAAGAGAGAACAUGGAGUGGGGAGAGAGAAGGAGAAGUCAGUUAUGAUUUUCUCACGUGUUGCUUCCUUUUUUUUCAUCACAAUCUCACUCCCUUGGUCACAUAUGGCCUAGUUGUUAACCAUUGGAUCGUACGACCUGGUUUUCAUUGAUGUGGGUCCCACAUGGGCACCCAACUUUAUUUACCAUGCGUCUGCUUAAAGUUUUCCCUUUGAUCUUGUGACGGAAUGAUCUGAUGGAUGAGGUUGAGUCAACACAUGUUGACUACCUCAUACCUUUGUCUGGGCUUACUACACCUUUGGGCCUUCUCUAGCCCCGGGGGCCUCUUUGCUU
rnacentral:lncRNA from 1 species